CCUUCCUAAAAACUAUAUUCCAAUCUCUCCAUUUCAAGUGUUCAUUUUUAUCUGGUAACAUUCACCAUACACUCACACACACCUAAGCUAUAGUCCAAUCUCUCCAUUUCGAGUAUUCAUUUUUAUCUGGUAACAUUCACCAUACACUCACACACACCUAAGCUAUAGUCCAAUCUCUCCAUUUCGAGUAUUCAUUUUUAUCUGGUAACAUUCAUCAUACUCUCACACACACCUAAGCAUUCCCUCAUCACUCAAAUUUCCCUUCCCUAAAACUAUAUUCCAAUCUCUCCAUUUCGAGUGUUCAUUUUUAUCUGGUAACACACACACACACACUCACCAUGGGCCAAGUGUUCGUCAGACGCUCUACGGCCGUGCUCCUGUGCCUGGUCGGGUCACUCUGCGUGGUCUGCGUGGCCCUCCUAGUCCUCCUCUUAGCCCCGGAUUGGCGGCUGACAGGGGGCCAAACCUCAGCCAUGACCUACGAUUCCAACCCCGCUGAAUCCACACUACGCAAGAUCGAAGCAUAUGACCUUGCACCUUCAGCCAAUCCUACAACAACUACCAUGCCCUCUACAGCAAAGGAACCCUGGGAGAAGGAGUACAGGAUCCCCACCACGACCCUCCCCCACCACUAUGACCUGUAUCUCCACCCUGACCUCGAUUCUGGGGACUUCAGCGGUCGGGUCACCAUCCGCAUCGGCGUGACUUCACCUAUGAAUUACUUGUUGGCGCACGUGAAGAAGCUCAACGUAACCUUCACCUCGCUGCAGAAGGAGGGUGAGAGAGGGCGGGAGGAGGUGGAGGUGGAGAGGGCGUUUGAGUACGAGCCCAAUCAGUUCUGGGUUGUCGCCCCUCGCCGCGCCCUCCACCCCGGUAACUACUCCCUGACGCUCCACUUCUCCGGCACCCUCACUGGCUCCAUCGUGGGAUUCUACAGGAGCGUUUACACCACAGCGGCCGGAGAGAAGAGGUCCAUCGCCACCAGCAAGUUCCAGCCCACAGACGCCCGCAGUGCCUUCCCGUGCUUCGAUGAGCCUUCCUUCAAGAGCACUUUCACCACUACCCUCGUCAGGCCGUCGGAAGGGUACAUCGCACUCUCCAACAUGCCCGUCCAGACCGAGACCCCAGACGCCCCUCGGCCCGGCCUGACGGAGGUGUUGUUCAAGAAGUCGGUGCCCAUGGUGACCUACCUCGCCUGCUUCAUCGUCUGCGACUUCAAAUACGUGGAGGCCCUCACCAAGGACCAGAAGCCCUUCAGAGUGUAUGCCACGCCGGACCAGAUCAACAGGGCCAAUUACUCGCUAGAUUUGGGCGUCAGCGUUUUAAAUUACUUCGAGGAUUAUUUCAAGGUCAAGUACCCGCUUCCGAAACAAGACAUGAUCGCCAUCCCGGAUUUCAUCUCCGGCGCCAUGGAGCACUGGGGCCUCAUCACCUACCGCGAAGUUAACCUGCUGUACGACGCGCGCGGGUCCUCCUCCUACAACCAGCAGCGCGUGGCGGCGGUGGUGGCGCACGAGCUGGCGCACAUGUGGUUUGGGAACUUGGUGACCCUGGAGUGGUGGGAUGACCUCUGGCUGAACGAGGGCUUCGCGAGCUACAUCGAGUACAAGGGCGUGGCUAACUACGAGAAGGAUUGGGACAUGGAGGGCCAGUUCGUGAUAGAUGACCUGCAGCGCGUGAUGGCCCUGGAUGGUCAGCUCACCUCCCAUCCCAUCGUGCAGCCCGUCAACCACCCCGACGAGAUCACCGAGAUAUUCGACACAAUCUCCUACAGCAAGGGCGCCUCUGUUCUAAGGAUGCUGGAGGACUUUCUGGGCCACGAGGUGUUCAGGGAGGGCGUCAGUCGCUUCCUCAGGCGGUACAAGUACCGUAACGCCGUGACCCGGGACCUGUGGCGGGAGCUGGAGGCCGCGGCGCCGCCCGGGGGACCCAACAUCACCCUGGUCAUGGACACCUGGACACGGCAAAUGGGUCUUCCGGUGCUCCAGGUGACCCCAAGCACCGAGGACCAGAACAAGUUGGUCAUCACCCAGACCCGCUUCCUGAGUGAUCCCACCGCUGCGAGCGCCGAUGAUUCCCCGUAUGACUACAAGUGGGAUGUGCCCGUCACCCUGUUCUCCGACGCCUCGCCCAGGGAGCUGCACUGGUUCAUGAGGGGCAUGGACAAGCUGGUGGUGACCCGGCCGCCUGGUUCGUCCUGGGUUAAGUUCAACGUGGGUCAGUUCGGCUACUACAGAGUGAACUAUGACCCGGCGCUGUGGCGUGACCUUAUCGCCCUGCUGACCACCAACCACGAGGCCCUGAGUCCCCCUGACCGCGCCUCGCUGCUGGACGACGCCUUCAACCUGGCCAGCUCGGGGCGGCUUCCCUACCCCACCGUGCUGUCCCUCAUCGCCUACCUGGACAAGGAGACGCACUACAUCCCCUGGGCCACCGCCGCCUCGCACCUCGACAAGAUCGGCCGGCUCCUGCGACGCACCGAGGCCUAUCCUUACUUCAGGAAAUACAUGGUGAGCUUGGUGAAGGGUCACGUCGAGGCGCUGGGGUGGGAGGACACAGGUUCACACUUGGACAGGAGGAAGAGGCUGUGGUUCAUGUUCCUGGCGUGCUCGAAUGGGUACGAGCCGUGUCUGCAAGGGGCGAGGGACAGACUCCUGGCGUGGGUGAAGGACCCUAAUUACUACCUGCCCCCCAAUACUCGCUCCUUAGUCUACAGGUUCGGGAUGCAAAAACCAGGUGUGGAGGUGUGGGAGGCCAUGCUGGACAGGUAUACGGGUGAGACCAAUGCCCAGGAGAAGACCAAGCUGGCGGUGGGUCUGGCCAGCACCACGGAGGACUGGGUGGCGCAGAGGCUGCUCACCCUGGCCACCAAUGACAGCGUAGUGAGGAGCCAGGACUAUUUCUCCAUGCUCAACAAUAUGGCCCGCAGCCCCUGGAACACCUACCUCGUCUGGGACUACGUCAGGUCACACUGGGAGGAGUUGGUUGAGCGCUUCACCCUCAACAACCGCUACCUUGGACGAAUGGUGAAGUUUGUGGUCACCAGGCUGUCCACACCCACCCAGCUGACGGACGUCCAGUCGUUCUUCAAGCAGUACCCGGAGGCUGGCUCAGGGGCCCGGUCGAGGCAGCAGGCCCUGGAGGAGCUGGAGAGCAACAUUCACUGGGUGGGCGAGCACGCUGACCACCUCCUGGCCUGGCUCACCGACUGGACACAUCAACGAGCGCCCUAACUGAAACCAGGAAGCUGUAUCACCCUAGGGAAGGUUUUGUUAGUGUGUUAGGGACUUUGUGACUUUCUAGGGUUUUUUCUAUUACUCUAAGCUACGUAACUCCAGGAAGGUUUUGUUAGUGUGUUAGGGAAUUUGUGACUUUCUAGGGUUUUUUCUAUUACUCUAAGCUACGUAACUCCAGGAAGGUUUUGUUAGUGUGUUAGGGAAUUUGUGACUUUCUAGGGUUUUUUCUAUUACUCUAAACUAUGUAACUCCAGGAAGGUUUUGUUAGUGUGUUAGGGAAAUUCGUGACUUUCUAGGGUUUUUUCUAUUACUCUAAACUAUGUAACUCCAGGAAGGUUUUGUUAGUGUGUUAGGGAAUUUGUGACUUUCUAGGGUUUUUUCUAUUACUCUAAGCUAUGUAACUCCAGGAAGGUUUUGUUUGUGUGUUAGGGAAUUUGUGACUUUCUAGGGUUUUUCUAUUACUCUGAGCUAUGUAACUCCAGGAAGGUUUUGUUAGUGUGUUAGGGAAUUUGUGACUUUCUAGGGUUUUUUCUAUUACUUUAAACUAUGUAACUCCAGGAAGGUUUUGUUAGUGUGUUAGGGAAUUUGUGACUUUCUAGGGUUUUUUCUAUUACUCUAAGCUAUGUAACUCCAGGAAGGUUUUGUUAGUGUGUUAGGGAAAUUCAUGACAGUCUAGGGUCUUUUCUAUUACUCUAAGCUAUGUAACUCCAGGAAGGUUUUGUUAGUGUGUUAGGGAAUUUGUGACUUUCUAGGGUCUUUUCUAUCACUAAGCUAUGUAACUCCAGGAAGGUUUUGUUAGUGUGUUAGGGCAGUUCAGGACUAUAGUAGGGCAGUUUCUAGCACCUUAAGUUAUAUAAUAUACAGGACAUAACAACACACACACACACACACACACACACACACACACACACUUAGUAAAAAACUGAGGAAGGGAAGAUACUUGAGAGACAUAAAGAAAUAUAGCUUUCCACAAAGAAAUAUAGAGGUUCGGAACAGACUAAGUGAGGAUGUAGUAUCAGCGAGGAGUGUGCAAAGCUUUAAGGAAAAGUUUGAUAAGUGCAGAUACGGAGACGGGACCACACGAUCGUAAACCCAGGCCCUUUAAAACUACAACUAGGUAAAUACACACACACACACACACUCACACACAGGAGCUAACAAAAGGCAUGUAUAUAUAAAUUCAGUGUAUGUAGAUUCUCAGACAAUAAGAAUAAAUGUAUCUGUAUAGUUGAGUCCAUUCCUUUGAGAUGGAGAAGACUUAGUAAGGAAAGAUAGCACAUGUGUUAGCUAUAUAUAUAGUUGUGUGUGUUGCAUAGUGCCAUUAGGGUAGAGUAUAUUUUAUGGGGAGUGAAUGGCGGUAGUUGUGUGAGGUUUACCUGUUGUGUUAAAGUUGUUUUAGAUCAGUAUUUUAUGAUGCUUGUACUUAAUAUAUAUUCACUACAUGCUCCUGCAAACACACACACAAAUUAAAAGUCGGUUCGCUCAGCUCACACCCGAGAGUUUUCAGGUUCAAUUCCCGGACGAAGUGCAGACAGAUGGGGCGUCUCCUUACACCCAUACCCUGUCCACCCAGCAGUGAAUGGGCGCUGGGUGACAGUCUGUGGAAGUGUUACCAGAGUAUUGCACUCUUCACGUUGUAUUUCCCAGUUUCUGACCCUUAACUAUUGCCAAAAACAUCAGUAGGUAACGGUUUUAACAACAACUUGAAUUGAACAUCGUCAUUUGUGGGGGGUAUGGUGGCAGAAGGAAGAGAGGAAGACCCGGGACGAGAUGGAAGGCCUGUAUUGUGGCGGAUAGCAGGGAGAAGAACUUGGACCUUGAAGUGGCGGAUGACAGGGUUAGAUGGAGGAGACUCAUCAAGAACAGCGACCCCGUAUAGAAACUGGGUAAUAAUGCUGCGGAAGAAGAGGAAUUUUGGGGGUAUGACAGUUUUGGGUCUGAAGCUGAUAAAUAUAAUGAGUAACGUUGGUCUGUGGGUGUGACUCAUGAGCUCGACACACUCAUGUAAGAUACGAGUAGGUGAACACAUGCAUUUUAUCCACAGUACGAAGAACCCUUUUAUAUACCUGUCUAAAGUAGCAUAAAGCAUAGCAGUUUGUAGGUAUAUUUGUAUGUUAUGGUAAUGUUAAGGUGUGGGUGUACAGGUGUUUUGAUGGGCAGGUCUAGUUAUAUUUAUCCUCGGUUUAUUUCUUCUCCUUUUCUCUUCUUUUCUUUUAGCAUCCUUACUCUCUGAAGGUCUGGUUAUCUCUAUUCUCAGUUUAUCCACAUUGCCACACACAUUCCUGCGUUGUCAUCUCCCUGCAUUGUGACGAGGAGAAGGUUCUUGUGUUGUGAGCUCAUUGUGAAAAGGAGGUUGUUUUAACAUAUUCCUGUGUGUGUUUGCACUUGUCUUGCUAAAAUCUUGCGUCUUUCUAAAAUCUUGUGUCUUCCCAAAUUCCCGUCUUCCCAAAUUUCUGUCUUCCUAAAUUCUUGGGGCUUUGUGGUGCAGUGGUUAGCACACUCGGCUCACAACAGAGAGAGCCCGGGUUCGAUUCCCGGGCGGAGUGGGAAAAAUUGGGCGGCUUUUCCGAUACCCUAUGCCCCUGUCCACCCAGCAGUGAAUGGGUACCACGUAUUAAUCGGGGGUUGUGUCCCGUCUCCUGGGGUCUGUUCCCUUCUCCUAUAAUUCCUUCCCCCUCUUGUCUCUCUCCGGCAUAUGACCACAGAUAUUGCGCCGACUAAACGAAACUUUCCAACUUUCCUAAAUUCUUGUCUUCCUAAAUUCCUCUAAAAAUUGUGUACAUGUUUUUUGCUUUCCUCUAUAAGUCAUAGUACAGCCCGUUGACCUCCAGUACGCCCACACCUUGGUUAGGACUUGUAUAGAACUCGUGUGUAGGUGUAUUUAGUAUGUGUAGCCUGCUUAUAUAUAUAGUAUGUAUGGACGUGUAGCCUACCAUUUUGUAUGACCCUCUGACACUUCAAUAAAUAUUCCAGUAAGAGAAA